CCGAAAGGCAGGAGUGCCUGCAAGGGAGCGCGGAGACAGGUGGUGCAUGGCUGUCGUCAGCUCGUGUCGUGAGAUGUUGGGUUAAGUCCCGCGACGAGCGCAACCCUCACCUCUUGUUGCCAUCAGGUCAUGCUGGGCACUCUAGAGGAACUGCCCCGGUCAACGGGGAGGAAGGCGGGGAUGACGUCAAGUCAUCAUGCCCCUUACGUCCUGGGCUACACACGUGCUACAAUGGCCGGUACAAAGGGAUGCCACACCGCGAGGUAGAGCUAAACCCAAAAAGCCGGUCUAAGUUCGGAUUGGAGUCUGCAACUCGACUCCAUGAAGGAGGAAUCGCUAGUAAUCGCGUAUCAGCACGACGCGGUGAAUACGUUCCCGAGCCUUGUACACACCGCCCGUCACACCACGAAAGCCAG
rnacentral:rRNA from 1 species